UACGUAGGGUGCGAGCGUUAAUCGGAAUUACUGGGCGUAAAGUGUGCGCAGGCGGCCGAGCAAGUCGUGUGUGAAAGCCCCGAGCUUAACUUGGGAACUGCGCUCGAAACUACUUGGCUAGAGUGUGGCAGAGGGAGGUGGAAUUCCACGUGUAGCGGUGAAAUGCGUAGAGAUGUGGAGGAACACCGAUGGCGAAGGCAGCCUCCUGGGCCAACACUGACGCUCAUGCACGAAAGCGUGGGGAGCAAACAGG
rnacentral:rRNA from 1 species